rnacentral:rRNA from 1 species
GUGGGGAAUAUUGGGCAAUGGGGGCAACCCUGACCCAGCGACGCCGCGUGAGGGAAGAAGGCCUUAGGGUCGUAAACCUCUGUUGUGUGGGAAGAAGGAAGUGACGGUACCACACGAGGAAGUCCCGGCUAACUACGUGCCAGCAGCCGCGGUAAUACGUAGGGGACGAGCGUUGUCCGGAAUUACUGGGCGUAAAGGGCGCGUAGGCGGUCAUUUAAGUCAGCUGUGAAAUGGUCCGGCUCAACCGGAUCAUGCGGUUGAAACUGGAUGACUGGAGUGCUGGAGAGGCAAGUGGAAUGCCCAGUGUAGCGGUGAAAUGCGUAGAUAUUGGGAAGAACACCGGUGGCGAAGGCGACUUGCUGGCCAGCAACUGACGCUGAGGCGCGAAAGCCAGGGGAGCAAACGGGAUUAGAAACCCGGGUAGUCC